rnacentral:rRNA from 1 species
GACGAACGCUGGCGGCGUGCCUAAUACAUGCAAGUCGAGCGGCCGAAUCGAAAGCUUGCUUUUGUUUCGUUAGCGGCGGACGGGUGAGUAACACGUGGGCAACCAUCUCUUUAUACGGGGAUAACACCGAGAAAUCGGUGCCAAUACCGGCUAACACGACAUGUCGCAUGACGUUUCGUUGAUAGACGGCGCAAGCUGUCGCUUCAGGAUGGGCCCGCGGCGCAUUAGCUAGUUGGAGAGGUAACGGCUCACCAAGGCGACGAGCCGUAGCCGGCCUGAGAGGGUGAUCAGCCACACUGGAACUGAGACACGGCCCAGACUCCUACGGGAGGCAGCAGUAGGGAAUCUUCCGCAAUGGACGAAAGUCUGACGGAGCAACGCCGCGUGAGCGAAGAAGGCCUUCGGGUCGUAAAGCUCUGUUGUUAGGGAAGAACAAGUAACGCAGUAACUGGCGUUACCGUGACGGUACCUAACGAGAAAGCCACGGCUAACUACGUG